GCUUGGAAUAUGAUUUACACUCAUUCAUUCGAGCACUAUGAAUGGUAAUGACACAAAAAUGAACUUUAUUCAUUUGCGCCAAAAUGAUUAUAUGGUUCAGGUUAUAAAAAGAAAAAAUACAUUAUUGCCUCAGAGCAUCAUCAAGGCGCCUAGAUUUGAAGUGACUUUUCUUCAUGCCAGCAGCCUCUUCUGUUUGAGUG
rnacentral:lncRNA from 1 species